rnacentral:piRNA from 1 species
AGAAGGCUGGGAGUGUCCACAAGA